UACAGAGUCAAUGUGGAGGCUAUAUACAGGGAGGUACCGGUACAGAGUCAAUGUGGAGACUAUAUACAGGGGGUACCGGUACAGAGUCAAUGUGGAGACUAUAUACAGGGGGUACCAGUACAGAGUCAAUGUGGAGGCUAUAUACAGGGGGUACCAGUACAGAGUCAAUGUGGAGGCUAUAUACAGGGGGUACCAGUACAGAGUCAAUGUGGAGGCUAUAUACAGGAGGUACCAGUACAGAGUCAAUGUGGAGGCUAUAUACAGGGGGUACCAGUACAGAGUCAAUGUGGAGACUAUAUACAGGGAGGUACCGGUACAGAGUCAAUGUGGAGGCUAUAUACAGGGAGGUACCGGUACAGAGUCAAUGUGGAGGCUAUAUACAGGGAGGUACCGGUACAGAGUCAAUGUGGAGACUAUAUACAGGGAGGUACCGGUACAGAGUCAAUGUGGAGACUAUAUACAGGGGGUACCGGUACAGAGUCAAUGUGGAGGCUAUAUACAGGGAGGUACCGGUACAGAGUCAAUGUGGAGGCUAUAUACAGGGAGGUACCGGUACAGAGUCAAUGUGGAGACUAUAUACAGGAGGUACCGGUACAGAGUCAAUGUGGAGACUAUAUACAGGGGGUACCGGUACAGAGUCAAUGUGGAGGCUAUAUACAGGGGGUACCAGUACAGAGUCAAUGUGGAGGCUAUAUACAGG
ensembl:lncRNA